GAGGGUGUGGCUCAAGUGGUAGAGCGCAUGCUUAGCAUGCGUGAGGUCAUGGGUUCGAUCCCCAGAACCUCCU
rnacentral:tRNA from 1 species